GGAGAGGUGUCCGAGUGGUUUAAGGAGCAUGCUUGGAAAGUAUGUAUGCAGGAAACUGUAUCGCGGGUUCGAAUCCCUCCCUCUCCA
rnacentral:tRNA from 1 species